AGCAGCGUGGCUUAGUGGAUAGAGCACAGGCCUGGGAGUCAGAAGGUCAGGGGUUCUAAUCCCCUCUCUGCCA
rnacentral:tRNA from 1 species